rnacentral:rRNA from 1 species
AGUAAUGUAUGGGGAUCUGCCUGAUGGCGGGGGAUAACUACUGGAAACGGUAGCUAAUACCGCAUAAUGUCUGCGGACCAAAGCGGGGGACCUCCGGGCCUCGCGCCAUCAGAUGAACCCAUAUGGGAUUAGCUUGUAGGUGGGGUAACGGCUCACCUAGGCGACGAUCCCUAGCUGGUCUGAGAGGAUGACCAGCCACACUGGAACUGAGACACGGUCCAG